rnacentral:rRNA from 1 species
UACGGGGGGGGCAAGCGUUGUUCGGAAUUACUGGGCGUAAAGGGCUCGUAGGCGGCCAACUAAGUCAGACGUGAAAUCCCUCGGCUUAACCGGGGAACUGCGUCUGAUACUGGAUGGCUUGAGUUUGGGAGAGGGAUGCGGAAUUCCAGGUGUAGCGGUGAAAUGCGUAGAUAUCUGGAGGAACACCGGUGGCGAAAGCGGCUCGCUGGCCCGGUACUGACGCUGAGGUGCGAAAGCGUGGGGAGCAAACAGG